UGCACCACAAGGUCGAGGAUCGCCGAACUGCGCAUCAUCUCGAUAGCCCGCUCGAAUGGCAGAUCGAUGAAUUCAAUUCUUCCCAGAGCCGCGCUUAUUAUGCAAGUUUGGUUUCGAAAUAUAAAGGUACGAUGCCCCUGCAAACGCCGCAACCCAGACGACCCUUCUCGCCGACGAGAAUCCGAAUUCUGACUUCUGCAUUC